rnacentral:rRNA from 1 species
AUUGAACGCUGGCGGCAGGCCUAACACAUGCAAGUCGAGCGGCUGAAGCUUUCUUUCUCCUGUUUUCAGCGUCGGACUGGUGUGUAAUGCCUAUUAAUCUGCCUGGUUGUUGUUUAUAACGUCCUUAAACGGGCUCUAAUACCGCAUACGUCCUUAUGGUGCACUUUUGUUUUCUUCGUACCUCACGCUAUCAUAUGUGCCUAGGUCGGAUUAGCUAGUUGGUGGGGUAAAGGCCUACCAAGGCGACGAUCCGUAACUGGUCUGAGAGGAUGAUCAGUCAAAAGGGAAGUGAGACACGGUAAAGAGAACUACGGGAGGAAGCAGAGGGGAAUAGUGGACAAUGGGCGAAAGGAGGAUAAAGAAAUGCGGAGUGUGGGAAGAAGGAGUGAGGAGUGUAAAGAACGUUAAGUGGGGAGGAAGGGAAGUAAGAGAAGAAAUAGAUGGAGUGACGGUAACAAAAGAAAAAGCAACGGCUAACUACGUG